UACGUAGGGUGCAAGCGUUGUCCGGAAUUAUUGGGCGUAAAGAGCUCGUAGGCGGUCUGUCGCGUCGGCUGUGAAAACUCGGGGCUCAACCCCGAGCCUGCAGUCGAUACGGGCAGACUAGAGUGCUGUAGGGGAGACUGGAAUUCCUGGUGUAGCGGUGAAAUGCGCAGAUAUCAGGAGGAACACCGGUGGCGAAGGCGGGUCUCUGGGGCAGUAACUGACGCUGAGGAGCGAAAGCGUGGGGAGCAAACAGG
rnacentral:rRNA from 1 species